GAUGAACGCUAGCGAUAGGCCUAACACAUGCAAGUCGAGGGGCAGCACGGGAGUAGCAAUACAACUGGUGGCGACCGGCGCACGGGUGAGUAACGCGUAUGUAAUCUACCUACAACAGGGGGAUAACCCGGAGAAAUCCGGACUAAUACCGCAUAAAACAGGGGUCCCGCCUGGGACUAUUUGUUAAAGAUUUAUCGGUUGUAGAUGAGCAUGCGUUCCAUUAGAUAGUUGGUAAGGUAACGGCUUACCAAGUCAGCGAUGGAUAGGGGAACUGAGAGGUUUGUCCCCCACACUGGAACUGAGACACGGACCAGACGCCGACGGGAGGCAGCAGUGAGGAAUAUUGGUCAAUGGGCGAGAGCCUGAACCAGCCAAAUCGCGUGAAGGAAGACUGCCUUAUGAGUUGUAAACUUCUUUUACAGGGGAAUAAAAAGACAUACGAGUAUGUCAUUGCAUGUACCCUGUGAAUAAGCAUCGGCUAACUCCGUGCCAGCAGCCGCGGUAA
rnacentral:rRNA from 1 species